AUGGAGUGGCGGAGUUUUGUGAUCAAAGUCAUCAGUUCCAUUAGGAAAGGGAUUGCAUCCUUUGUGAUGCUUGUAUAUUGAGAAAUUUAGUAUGAGCGGAAUGCGAGAGUCUUUAAAAGCACUUCUACGUUGUCGAGUAUCAUCACUCGGAAGAUAAAAAAGGAAGCCAAUAUGUGGAGACUGGCGGGAGUGAGGCAAUUGAGUUUGAUCAUGCCACGAGAGUAG
rnacentral:rRNA from 1 species